CAAGCAUGAAUGCUGCUAUUUUCCGUUUCUUUUUUUACUUUAGCACCUGUUUCCCGGGGGCUUGCGCGUAAGUCAAGAAACGAAAAAUAGCGCUAGAGCCUCCCGAAGUGGAGGCUUUUUUUAU
rfam:Candidatus Sodalis pierantonius str. SOPE, complete genome.